rnacentral:rRNA from 1 species
AACAGGAUUAGAUACCCUGGUAGUCCACGCCGUAAACGCUGUCUACUUGGAGGUUGAGGUUUUAGACUUUGGCUUUCGGCGCUAACGCAUUAAGUAGACCGCCUGGGGAGUACGGCCGCAAGGUUAAAACUCAAAUGAAUUGACGGGGGCCCGCACAAGCGGUGGAGCAUGUGGUUUAAUUCGAUGCAACGCGAAGAACCUUACCUACUCUUGACAUCCAGCGAAGCCUUUAGAGAUAGAGGUGUGCCUUCGGGAGCGCUGAGACAGGUGCUGCAUGGCUGUCGUCAGCUCGUGUUGUGAAAUGUUGGGUUAAGUCCCGCAACGAGCGCAACCCUUAUCCUUGUUUGCCAGCACGUAAUGGUGGGAACUCCAGGGAGACUGCCGGUGAUAAACCGGAGGAAGGUGGGGACGACGUCAAGUCAUCAUGGCCCUUACGAGUAGGGCUACACACGUGCUACAAUGGCAGAUACAGAGGGCAGCGAGACAGCGAUGUUUAGCGAAUCCCUUAAAGUUUGUCGUAGUCCGGAUUGGAGUCUGCAACUCGACUCCAUGAAGUCGGAAUCGCUAGUAAUCGUGGAUCAGAAUGCCACGGUGAAUACGUUCCCGGGCCUUGUACACACCGCCCGUCACACCAUGGGAGUGGGCUGCACCAGAAGUAGAUAGCUUAACCUUCGGGAGGGCGUUUACCACGGUGUGGUUCAUGACUGGGGUGAAGUCGUAACAAGGUAACC